rnacentral:lncRNA from 1 species
GUGACUCAAAACGCAGUGGAUUCACCGUUUUAACGAUCCUGAGUUUAUUUGAGCAUUGGUUGAAUUAAAAAUUUUACAGUAGGUCGUUCAAAUCUAUAGCUAAAACUGAUUUUUUCCAAAUUUCAACUUACAGCCUAGUUUUUUAAAAUUUCACCUUGAACCGUGCCUAACUCCUGUAUUCGCUCCGCGGUGCCAUCACCGUUUGAACGAUUCCGGCUUUAUUAUGGCACCAAUUGAGCUGAAAUUUUUCAGGAAGAUAGCUCAAAUAUAAGGCUCGAGCUGAUUUUUUUCCAAAUUUGAAAAACUGCAAUGGAUUUUCGAAAUUUCAUCACAACAUAGGUAAAAUCACGAAAAUUCAUACUUCGCGGUCUUUUCAGAGCGCCGUCGACGGUAACGCGAUCUCUUAUCGCAGAUUUCAACUUGCGCCCCUGUCGAAUCCCCUUAAAAUAUCCGUACGCGUGACGUCACAGAAUGACGCUCAGCCAAUAGCAGCACGGAGAGCGGUAGAGCGUACGGAUCUCGCACACGGAGCACCCGGGAACACUGCGUGUAAGUAGCUUCAGUCUCUGUCCUCAACUCGCCGACGAUAGUGCAUUUUCCGUCUUCAAAUCCUCCCGUUACCGCAACAUCAAAAUGCACGCCGCAUCUGCUAUAUUCCCGACGUUCUUCCUCGUGACAGUCCUAGCAUCCAUUCAGACACAUGGUUUCCUUGACCUGAAUGAAGAAGAUGUGACUGAUUGUUCCCUACAUUUACGCCCCCUUAAGUCUUUUUCGACGGACCGACAGGUGACUGAUGAUUUGGGACUCAUUGAACAUAUCUUUGAGUGUGUCAAAGACGAUGCCGCCCGAAUAAAAUUGAUCACGAAACUAAACGCAAAUAAGGACAAAGCCUACGCUCUACAACUUGCUGAAAAGGACAAAAUCUACGCUCAACAGGUGGAGAGGUUGUCAGGAGACAUAAGAGAGCUCCAAAAGGAUAAGAUAAUGGACAUUCGUACACCAUGUGGACAACCGAACUCGACGCCACGACUUCGGGGCACUGCCGUUAAUUUAAAUGCGGCUUUUGCCGGCACUAUCAUGUCCAAAGGGGCAGGAGACUAUGAAUACAGUCAUACAUUGACAAUUUCACCCCGCUCUAACUCACGGCGACAAAACACGUGUGAUGAUCCGUACGACACAUUAUUAAGGAUGAUGUCAGAGAUGAAUGCAAAAAUGAACCAGCUUGGUUCGAAAAUUGACCAUAUUCAGGGUGACAUUAAUGCUGUCGGAGCCGGCAUUAAGACAAUCGCACUGCGUCAAGCUACAGAAGAAAGGGUGAAUGUCCAAUGUUUCUGCGGGGUUAACGACGUCGUAUUUAACCUGCCCAUACGGACGGAGGAUGAUUUUAUGGAACUCGAAAUCCAACUGGAGGAUCUUGGAGAGACAGAAAAACUGAGUAAAUACCUGGCUCGCUAUUGCCAGGGCAAAGAUAUUGCAUCCCAAGUGAAAAGUAUGAUGAGUGCCAUCAUGACGUGUGAAAUGGGUUUGAGCUUUUGCCUAACUGGUAAUCCCAAAAAAAAUAAGGCCAGUUUCAUCGAAACUGAUAUACACAAGGCAAUUGAAGGCGUUUACACUAAACCAGACACAACAAAAAUUACCGGAGGCCUUCAACAAUAUUUCAAGAAUGUAUACCAAGAUUACAAAAGAGAAGUACAAAAGAGAAGAAAUGAUCUUAUGCAUAGCAAUGGAGAGGAUUAUAAUGCAGAAGGCGAGGAGGAAUUCAAUCUUGGUAUUGAUUGUGAAAGGAUGCUACAAUUUCAGAGGGAAAAACGGAUCCGGUUAAAUCAAAAGGCAGCAGAUCGGUGCAGGAACCGGAAUCGACGACAAAAUAUAGUAAUUUUGCAACAACAAAACAGCCACCACCACCUCCAACGCCAACAGCAACAGCAACAACAACAACAACAACAACAACAACAACAACAACAACAACAACAACAACAACAACAACAACCUCUCUAGAUCCUUUCGUACUGUAGUGCGGAAUUAAUUAAUCAAAGAUAUAAACUGACCUGGCUUACGCCGGUCUACCGGCAGCAGCAGCAGCAGCAACAGCAGCAACAGCAGCAACAGCAGCAACAGCAGCAACAGCAGCAACAGCAGCAACAGCAGCAACAGCAGCAACAGCAGCAACAGCAGCAACAGCAGCAACAGCAGCAACAGCAGCAACAGCAGCAACAGCAGCAACAGCAGCAACAACAGCAACAACAACAACAGCAACAACAGCACACAACAACAACAACAGCAAGAACAGCAGCAACAGCAGCAACAGCAGCAACAACAGCAACAACAACAACAACAACAACAGCAACAACAACAACAACAGCAACAACAGCAACAACAGCAACAGCAACAGCAACAACAACAACAACAACAACAACAACAACAACAACAACAACAACAACAACAACAACCAGAACCUUGCCAGAGACAAAUUGUAGAAGUUGAUAUUCAUCAAACCCCCGCAACCAAGUCAGGCCGGUUCCAAACGAUACGACCCAUCAUACCCAUUCAAAUGACUCGGGUUGACAUGGAUCAGGAUUCUCUUGACAAUAUCUACAUCCUAUCUGACGGAGAGGAUGCCAGCUCACUUCAUAGGGACCAGGCUCCAGUAAUAAAACCAAUACUAGGAAUCAGCACCACAAGUGGCAAUACCACCACCGCCAUCACCACUGAAAAUAACAGGAACAAUAACAAUAUUAAAAACAACGACAAUAUUGAGAUUGAUUACAACUUUGACACCGCUGAUAACGAUAACAUGGACAUCAACAACUAUAGCGACGAUAAAAGAACCAAAAAAAACGACGACGACGACAACAAUAGAAGUCGCAGCAAUAGCGUUAACGCCGACACCGCCAUCUCCAACGUCACCGCGACUUCCACCACCACCGCUGUCAGCGCCACCACCAAAACCACCGCCAACUCCACCAUAACCACCACCACAAACACAACAACGAUAAGAAGAAAAGCAACAGCAGGAGCAAGAGGAAAAAAAAUAACAGCAACGACGAGGAUAACUGUAAGGACCAAAACAACAGCAUCCAGGACAGUACACCACCACUCCAAGAGACCCCGCAAAAACGAGGGAAACUCACGAAUGACAAUUCGAAAGCAGCACAUCUUCGUUCAAGUGGUAGGCGGUCUAAUCGUCUGGAGAAGCAAGUCCUAUCAGACGGAAAAAUCGAAGCCGUUCUUUCCGGUGAUUCGGAUAAUCAGCGAAUACCGUCAUAAUACAUACUUAAAUAUAUAGAUUGAAUAAGAAUGAAAGGUUUUUCCCCCGCCUUGAACAAAUGUAAAGAGGAAUUUUUGUAUUGAGAUAUACAUUUUUUUAUUUUCUUCCCUUUACUUAAAUUCCUCGUCAACGAACUAUAAUCAAUUAAAAAAUUUAACUAAGGAGCAAUAGCCGCGGACAGGCUCCUGCCGACGCAAGCCUGCUUGUUUUUUAAGUCGUUAAUAUGUGCUUGUUCACGGAAAAAGGAAACUUAAAACACAGGACUUUCAAAUUUAGUUAUUUGUGUCAGCAUAUUCAAGAAAACACAUUAUGUUUUUGUAAUGACACGAUUAUGUGUGAAAAAUCUCUAAAAGUCUUAUACGAGAAACGUAUAGUGGAAACAAUUUUGCACUCCGCAGAUUGCAGGAUAGAAUUUUAAUAUACUUUUAUUGCAGCAACAUUUUUGACUCGCAAACCCGAAAAGUCCAUUUUUCUGACUUGUUUCAACAUUUUCUAGCAUUUUUUGUUCCAUGAUUAUCGAAGAGCACUCUUCUCGCUCUGUUAAUGAUACCUACACGAGUUUUUGCGAACUUUGGUCCCCUCUCUCAUAAUUGGUAACGCAAAUUUUAUGCACACUGUUAUAAUUGUGUAAUGGUUAUAAAAAUGCAACAAAUUAUUAUUUUAAUCCAACCUUCUUUUUGAUCAUCAAUUUUGUCAACCUGUUAUUUCCUCGUGACGUGUGGUUUUAGGCACCUACAAAAGCUCAGUCGGCAACAAAUCUUCCCAUGAAACAAGAAAAAUACAGAGUCUUCAAAAUUUCCAGCUUCCUUGCCUCCCCCUGCUAACUGUUGAACGGUCCCACCUAGAAAUACGGAAAUGUAAGGAUAUCCUUAGGUCUGUAAUGCCUCAUUUAUUGAGGGCGGACCCUAUUUUAAAAUCUUCAAAUAUCACUGUUUUGAUACACCAUGAAUACGAACGGAUUUGGAACCGACUGGACGUCUCUAGAUAUAACUGGUUCAAAAUGGCGGCAAGUGAAAGUGUGAUAAAUUUCAACAUCCUCCGCCUACAAUUUUUAAUUUGUAAUCUGUAAAAGACUCCAAUUUGUGCCAAAAGUCUAUUCCUAGCACACUUCCAUAGAGUUUUAGGUAACUUGGAAUCCAUUUAAAAUCUCACUCCCAAUGAAUUUUUCCUGAACCACCUUUGAAUGAUACAACAUUGGAGGAAGAAUAAAGAUGAUAUUUUUAACACAAACCGACGAUUCAUAUAUACCACAACUUCAAAGUGAUGGCCUGAAGAAUUUGAAAUUGUAAACGUUUGAUUCGUAGCCAGUUUGAAAUGGUGCUAGCUGAAGACUUCCGGCAUGUGCCAAAAUUCCUCUAUUUUUACGUCGUUCUACAGGUGUAUCAAAAAGGGGUGUUGCUGUCUGGAAAUUUUGAGUUGGGGGUCCUUCAAGACGCCCGGGGGCGCCGCUCAAGGGUUUUUUUUAUACCAAAAGGUAAGCCCCAUUGACCAGCAAUAUCUCAAGAGUUUCAUAUUACUAGGUAAGACCGUUCAAGACUAAGGAGGGGAGAUCCGGACUUUUUGAAGACCGUGUAAGCAUUUGCUGCUUCCAUUUCAUAUGUUGACUUUAACUCGAUCUUCUACGCAAACUCCUUUCACCUUUAAUGUUUUUUUCUUUUCUUCUUCAAGGCCCUCCUUACAAACAUUUCCUAUUCAUUUAAUUUAAACGGUUUUUACUUUUAUACCGUUAGGUCAUAGUUUUUUUCUUCUAAAUUUCAAUGGUUUUGAUUGAGGAUCCAUGUGCCUUCUUAAUUUAUUUUAUAAAACUGUUACCUACCAGUCUCCUCUCAGAUUCAUACUGCAGAGUGUAGCCGUGGCUUCAAUACUGCUUCAAAACAGCUGUGUUUGUGCAAUUUUGGGGGGAAAAUCGAUUAAAAAAUUAU